GCGUGCUUAACACAUGCAAGUCGAACGAUGAACCAGGAGCUUGCUCUUGGGGAUUAGUGGCGAACGGGUGAGUAACACGUGAGUAACCUGCCCUUGACUCUGGGAUAAGCGUUGGAAACGACGUCUAAUACCGGAUACGAGCUUCCACCGCAUGGUGAGUUGCUGGAAAGAAUUUUGGUCAAGGAUGGACUCGCGGCCUAUCAGCUUGUUGGUGAGGUAACGGCUCACCAAGGCGACGACGGGUAGCCGGCCUGAGAGGGUGACCGGCCACACUGGGACUGAGACACGGCCCAGACUCCUACGGGAGGCAGCAGUGGGGAAUAUUGCACAAUGGGCGAAAGCCUGAUGCAGCAACGCCGCGUGAGGGACGACGGCCUUCGGGUUGUAAACCUCUUUUAGCAGGGAAGAAGCGAAAGUGACGGUACCUGCAGAAAAAGCACCGGCUAACUACGUGCCAGCAGCCGCGGUAAUACGUAGGGUGCAAGCGUUGUCCGGAAUUAUUGGGCGUAAAGAGCUCGUAGGCGGUUUGUCGCGUCUGCUGUGAAAUCCCGAGGCUCAACCUCGGGUCUGCAGUGGGUACGGGCAGACUAGAGUGCGGUAGGGGAGAUUGGAAUUCCUGGUGUAGCGGUGGAAUGCGCAGAUAUCAGGAGGAACACCGAUGGCGAAGGCAGAUCUCUGGGCCGCUACUGACGCUGAGGAGCGAAAGGGUGGGGAGCAAACAGGCUUAGAUACCCUGGUAGUCCACCCCGUAAACGUUGGGCGCUAGAUGUGGGGACCAUUCCACGGUUUCCGUGUCGUAGCUAACGCAUUAAGCGCCCCGCCUGGGGAGUAC
rnacentral:rRNA from 1 species